rfam:Ovis aries breed Texel chromosome 5, whole genome shotgun sequence.
GGCCCCUACGGGAAUAAGGGCAUCGCCUCCUUUGGUGAAGGCCACUCCCUUCAGAUGGAGGAUGGGAACUCCUUUCUUCCUGCAGAGGCCUGCCUGCUGCAGUCCUGCUAGGACAGUGUGGACACCGUAGGCUGCCACAGCUGCUAGCACCCCAGAAAGAAAGCACCCCAGAGCC